GAGAAUAAGAGAGUAGGUGGGAGAAAAGGAAGGUGGGGGAGUUCGCCGAGUCUUGAAGUAUCAUCGUGCAUGCAUUUUUAUUGUCAAGUACCAAACUCUUUCUCUCACCUCCGGUAGACUGUUACUUUGCAUGCACAUGUUUCUGUUUUAUCUUCUCUCGUUCGCUGAUUUCUCUCUCCGGUAGCCGGAAACCGUCUCCUAUACGGAUCCAGGUACUCCACGGGCUUGAUUUUCCAAGAAUUUCUUUGAUCAAAAGCUCAGUAGUUGAAGGUCAAAGGUAACUGAUGCGAAGAAAUCGAACAUGGCGCCGUCUCUGUAUAAUAGUUAUGGAAAUUGCUGAAGUUGCCUUUCGUAUUGUUUGAGAGAUUGUGAUGAGAGAAUUGAUAUUGAGAUGGAGUCGAAGACUUGCAUGAAUGCAUUAUGCGGAGCCUCGACGUCGAGCGGGUGGAGAAAAGGUUGGCCUUUGCGAUCUGGCGUAUUCGCCAAUCUCUGUGAUAAGUGCGGGUCUGCAUACGAGCUGUCAAUUUUUUGUGACAUGUUCCACUCAAAGGAUUCUGGUUGGAGGGAGUGCGCUUCGUGUGGCAAGCGUCUUCAUUGUGGAUGUAUUGCUUCCAUAUUUCUGCUUGAGCUACUUGAUCAUGGUGGCGGUGUAAACUGCAUGAGCUGUACUAAAAGUUCAGGGGUUAACUCUUUUGCUGACCAGUUGGAUGGAGAAAGGAAGCUUAUGCAGUUCGGCCGCAUUACUGAGGGUAUUGGCACGAGACACUUGCUCCAAUUACAGAAUGAGGAGACAAGUGGGUCUUUUUGGCAAGUGAAACAGGACGAUAAUGCACCUCCCAUGGGAGAAAUUGGAAGUACAAGUUUCUCAAACUUUAACCGAGCAUCAAAUGGAGCAAAACCAGAGAUUCAUAAAACAACUAUUGCGACAAAAGAAUUAUAUGAAUCACUGGCACAAACAAACUUGAGCAUUACCCUAGGCUCACCUUUAGGGAAUCCAAAUCCCUUUCCUGCUGCUGUUGUUGAUGAAAGGGUUCAAAAUAAGGCAUUGUCUCCACUCCAACAGGGGCCCAGGUCUCGCCAUCUAUUGCCCAAGCCUCCAAAGUCAGCCCUUGCUACAGGUUUAGAGUCCAAUGCAGGCAUGGUUUCACAGAUACGUGUUGCUAGGCCACCUACUGAAGGGCGGGGACGGAAUCAGUUGCUUCCUCGUUAUUGGCCAAGGAUUACAGACCAAGAGUUGCAGCAAAUAUCUGCAGAGUAUCCAUCAUUUUUUUUUUUUUUAAAGUAACAAGCCUAUUAGUUUUUUGUUUGCAGAAGCAUGCAAUGAAUGUUAUACUUUUAUGAUUUCCUUGCCUAUCUGUUUAUUAGGAUUGUUAUAUCCUUAACCAUGCUAUGAUAAAGUUCAAAUUCCACAAUUGUGCCGUUGUUUGAAAAGGUUCUCAGUGCAAGUGAUGCUGGUCGCAUUGGUCGUUUAGUUCUCCCUAAAGCGUGUGCUGAAAAACUUGAACUGCUGUGCAGGCUUAUUUUCCUCCUAUCUCCCAACCAGAGGGCCUUCCUCUAAGGAUUCAAGAUGUAAAGGGGAAAGAUUGGGUAUUUCAAUUCAGAUUUUGGCCAAAUAAUAACAGCAGAAUGUAUGUUUUGGAGGGUGUAACCCCUUGUAUACAGUCCAUGCAGUUGCAAGCUGGAGAUACUGUAACAUUUAGCCGUAUGGAUCCCGAAGGAAAACUUGUUAUGGGGUUCAGGAAAGCAUCAAACAAUAUGGCAAUGCAGGACAUUCAACCAUCUGCCAUUCCUAAUGGUGUUCAUUCAAGUGACAAUUUCUUUUCGGGUGUUUCUGAGAACCUACCUAUAAUAAGUGGUUACUCUGGCCUUCUUCAGUCACUAAAGGGAAGCAGCGAUACACAUUUGAGUGCACUGUCCAAACAUUUGCAUUCAACUAAUGGUGAUAUUAGCUGGCAUACAUCCGAGAAGCAUGAGGAAAGGAUGAGGGAGAGCUUGCUGUUACCAUCACUGCUGGUUCCUGAGAGAAAAAGAACACGAAAUAUUGGGUCUAAAAGUAAGAGGCUUUUAAUUGAUAGCCUAGAUGCUCUGGAGCUCAAACUCACAUGGGAAGAGGCACAGGAUUUGCUCCGUCCACCACCAAGUGUCAAGCCUAGCAUUGUCACUAUUGAGGAUCAUGAUUUUGAAGAAUAUGAAGAACCUCCAGUUUUUGGGAAGAGAACUAUCUUUGUAGUUCGUUCAAUUGGGGGACAAGAGCAAUGGGCUCAGUGUGAUAGCUGCUGUAAGUGGCGAAGGUUGCCGGUUGAUGUUCUUCUUCCUCCUAAGUGGACUUGUGUGGACAAUGCUUGGGAUCAAAGCAGGUUACUAACUUGUUUUCCAUAGCAAUUUCUUUGGGGUGUACGUGUGUGUUUUGGUGAAGAAACCACUCUCGCCAUGAAUUUUUCCAGCAAUGCUAUUUUCUGUCUCCAGGUGUUCAUGUUCGGCUCCUGAUGAAUUGAGCCCAAGGGAAUUGGAACAUCUUCUCAGACUCAAUAAGGGUAUGAACUACGAUACUGGCAUGUGCCUCUGUUAACAGGAAAUUGCAUGGCCAUUGGAUGUAGGGUGUUUUUAUCAUAACAUGCUUUUAUCAUUGGUUUAAAUUAUUAAUUCCCUUGGAAGUUAUACUAGAAUAGUUUAAUAUCAUACUUAUACAUCUUAGUAUGGUUCUGAAGACUUGCAAUUUUAGAUGAGCAUUACAUAAAUUAGUGCUAUAGUAUCUUUUUUGGUAAUAUGGAUGUAGGGGUGAGCAUUUGACCAAUUUGGUUUUCAAACCGAACCGAAUUGGCAAUAUCAAAAAACCGAAUUACCUAUUAUAGCUAAUCAAACCAAACUGGCCAGUGGGGUAGAAUUGAACCAAACUGAAAUUCUAGGUUUGGUUCGGUUUCUUGAUUUGGGUUGAGAAUGGGCCCACUUGUUUGGUCCUAUUUAAAGUUCUAAAUUCACGUCAUUGCAGUUAUCAAAUAUUCAAAAUUUAAGAAAAUCAAUCACAAUAAUACAUAAAAGCACCAUACAAUAUUGUCACAAAUUCACAAUGCAUGCCACAGAGGCAAACACCACAGUACCACAGUAUCAAUCUUGCUAGAAACAACAUUCCAACAAAAUCAUAGUACCAAUCUUCCUACAAAAUCACACCACACAUCCCCAAUUGCAGAAACAAUAUCGUAACAACUAACAAGUAAGAAGCAACUACUUGCAAAUUAAAGCCUAAGAAACAAUCCAAUGAUAGAAUCAUAGAACCAACUACAUGCACUGAGCAGUGAGCUUGGACAGCAUGAGGAGGGGGAGAUAGAGAACAAUAAAAUUACCUUAUUAAACUGAGGGAAAUUGAGAAUGGGGAGGAGGAGCAGGCAAGUAAGGGCGAGCAAGAGUGGGACUAUGGGAGGGGAAGGGAACAGGUGGUGAGGGAGGAUGAGGAGAAUAGGCCACAGAGGAGGGAGGAGCCAAGGAGGGGGAGAUUAAGAGUGCAAUAUGCUUUGUAUGAACCGAAGAUGAUGGUUCUGGUGGAAAUAGGCCACGGGGGAGGGAGGAGGGUGAGAAUGGCAAUGCGUAUAGGCUGUAGCAACUAGAAAUUGAAGAGAUUAGCACACUCUCAACUAGAAGAUGAGGAGAUGCAACUAUGCAAGGUGUGAGGGUUGUUGUUAUUGCAGACUUGUAGGGGCAAAGGAGAUGGCAACAGUGACGGUAAUGCUGUUGCAAGUGGGGAAUGGACUAGGGGGCACAUUGCAGUUCAGACUUAAUAGGAAAAAAAAAAUCAAAGAGGAAAGAAAAGGAAUUACAGUUACUGAGAUGAGGUUAUAUAGGGAAGGGUUUACUAGGCCGGGCCUCCUGGAAGCUUGAAAUGGCUUAUUGCACUGGGCUAGUGGACUUGACAUGAAAGAAGGCCUUCUCUUAUAUCAGAAGGCCUUAAAAUAAUGGCCGGCUCGGUUUUUCGGCUAAUUUGUUGGAAAUAACCGAAUCGGAAACCUAAAAUCCCUGAAAGCACUAACUGAAUCGAACCACUUGAACCAAGUAACCAAACCGAAUAGUUCAAAUUGAUUCAAUUUGGUUUGGUUUUUUAGUUAUAACCGAAAACUGCUCACUCCUAUAUGGAUGUGUGGUUAAUCCUCUGUGCAAUAUGGUGUCUUUGUAUUGUUACCUUGUUCUCCUACUUCAUAUUAGGUCUAAAAAAGGAAGGAGAGACCAUCUAAAUUUGACUCUCAGGUUCCUAAACACGGAAUGCUUUAAGUUCUUUCUUGCACUUAGUAUAGUUUUUGCAUCUGUCAACUUCAUGUAGUGCCAUAUGAUAAAUUGGCUAAUAAUUAGUUGCACUUAGGGGAGCUUUAUACAAGACAAAUGCACAUAUGCAUUGUCAAUUUAGUGAAUUUAUUAUUGGAAGAAUAGAGUCUACACCUGUAUAUGUCUUACUGUGAACUUGUGCAUGCUUUUUAAGUAUAUUUAUGCAUUGUGAACUGUUAAUCAUAAAUAAAAACAUGCUCUUUAUUUCUUUGUGGAAGUUAUGCUGUGCGUGUUUUCUUUUUUAUGCUAUCAUGACCUUUCUUAUAGAGUUCAAGAAACGAAGAAUGUUAAGUAUCCAUAGGCCAGCCCAGGAACACAAGUCUUCUGGCCUGGAUGCUUUAGCUAAUGCUGCAAUCCUUGGAGAUGCGGGUGAUCCAGGCACUACGGUAGUUGCUACAACAACCAAACACCCCAGGCAUCGGCCUGGCUGCUCUUGCAUUGUGUGCAUUCAGCCCCCAAGUGGUAAGGGCAAGCACAAGCCUACAUGUACAUGUACCGUCUGCAUGACAGUUAAGCGUCGUUUUAAGACCAUGAUGAUGCGCAAGAAGAAGCGUCAAUCAGAGCAUGAAGCAGAGAUUGCCCUAAGGGAUCAGAACAUGUCAGGUCCCAGAGAUGAAGCUGAAGUGGAGAGCAGCUCUAAGCUUGUAUCAACACCCCAAGAUCCUUCAGAGAAUGAGGAUAGGUUAGCGAAUGAGUUGGAACCCAAAAGUCAAAGCAACAAUCUUUUGAACAAAAUGAUUGACAUUGGGAAAGGACAUAUAGACUUAAAUUGUCAUCCAGCUCGUGAAGAAGAAUCACAGGUGGGGUUAGCCCGUAUGAGCAUGCUGAGUCUUCUUCAAGUAGCAAGCCUUCCAUUGGACACAUAUCUGAAGCAGAACGGUCUUACAAGCUUGGUAUCUGAGCGACAAGGAAGUUCAGCAUCACAUGUGCCACCUCAACCGGGAGAGAGUGAAGGACAACUUCCUGAGGAUUGUCAAUUUGGUACAGUUGUCCAAGAGCAGGAGAAGCAGGAGAGUGCAGGUGAAGAGAACUAUGGACCUGGACCAAAGCAAAGCCAAAAUGACCCUGUAUGAGGUUUUAUUUUGUCUUCUUUUCGUUGUUUUUGUACAAUUACAAGUUUCUGGGUCUUCUUCCAGUGGGAUGGGCAACAUUUUUGUUUCUUUUUAGUUUGAGGGUGCAUGUCUUUAUUCAUUAUAUAAUGUGUAUAAUACUGCACGAUUUUUUUUUUUUUAAUAAUCUAGGUUCUAGAGGGGGAAUUCAUGUGAGUACUUUUGAGUUGCUAGGUAUGAUCAUACGUAAGAAAUAUUUGAAGUAUAGAGAACACUGAACCAGUAGUUGGCAAUGUUUCAUGUGAUGUAUAUAUAACUAUAGUACUGCUCAGCUACUUGAACUCAAGUUUAGGCAUUAUACUCUUGUUACUCAUGUUUUUAGUUCAAGGCAACUAAAAACCAGUUCCAGAAUUUGGACUAGUCACCAAAUAGAGUCUAAAAUUGGCG
rnacentral:misc_RNA from 1 species